rnacentral:rRNA from 1 species
UGACCCGUCUGAAACACGGACCAAGGAGUCUAAUUAGGUAUCGAGUCGAUCGGUCUUGAAUAGGCCAGACUGGUGCGAGCAAUCGUGCCGAAUGAAGGCGUAGAGAAAUCAAAUCGUGUGAUCAUUGGGACAACAACAGUCCCUUUGCGCAACAUGUGCCUGUUCGUAUAGCAAUGUUAGCAAUAACUUGCUGAGCGGAGCAAAGAGAUACCUGAUUGGUACCCGAAAGAUGGUGAACUAUGCCUGGGCAAAUUGAAGCCAGAGGAAACUCUGGUGGAGGAUUGUAGCGAUUCUGACGUGCAAAUCGAUCGUCAGACCUGGGUAUAGGGGCGAAAGACUAAUCGAACCAUCUAGUAGCUGGUUCCUUCCGAA